UAAAAAUAUAACCAUACAAUCAUAGUUAUUAAAGGCGCUAGGCGUGCUCAAGGCGCAUAGGCCUCGCCUAGGGCCUAGGCGUAAAGCGCAAAAAAGCAAGGGCCUGAGAAAAAUAAAGCGCAUAAUGAAAAAAAAAAUAAAAAAUAUAUUAUGUAUUUGAAAAAGAAUACUAUUAUUUAAAUAAAAUAAACAAAAUCUACCAUGUAACACUUUAUAUCAUUUAUUUAGUACCAAAAGUUCAAAAAUAUUAGUGUAUUAGUGUAAAACAGUAGUUUUCAUUAGAUAAAAGUACGGAUCUGGCUAGAAUCUUUUCGGGAUUUAGGAAUCUCGUCGGAACGUGCACCUGAACCAUCACCUGGAGAAGUAAAGCGCAAUUUCCUCGACUUAAGGCGCAACUGCCUCGCCUCGCCUGAAAAAUGAGCCUAGGCGCCAGAGGCGAUGGCUUUUAACAACUAUGCAUACAAUCUAUAAUGCUUCAGUUGCAUAAUCUUAUGCUUUAUGUUCUCUGACUGGUUUAGAUUGUCUUAGUUGCUUAAAUGUAGAUGCUUGAGCUUUGACUUGAUUGGGCCUUUAGAGCGAUAAGCUAAUCAAAUUGGUUGGUUGUUCGGUGUUCAUAAUAGGGUAUAAGAGUUGCACUGAAUUAGUUUGACAUGUUAUUGAAUUUACAGUACAUUUGUGCCUGCUCACUUCUUUCUAGUACAGAAUUAUUAUGCUGGGUUCAUUUGUUGUUCACAUGAUUCUCGACUUCAACAACUUCAUGUUGUAAUUUCUUUUAACUUGUAGGUUGAAAACUUGAAAUUAUGUUGAUACAUUAGCUUUCCAACGGUAAAACCACUAAAUGUUAUAUGUAGUAGCAAUUUAGGCUAUGAACAUACCUGCUGCUGGAUUUCAGUGUAUCUUGCUUCGGGUAAAUGUGUUGAUUGUCAGUAAUGAUUCUUCUUUUGUAUAAUGAAUUGGAGUUACCCAUGGUUGUUUUGACCUACUAAUGGUUGAUAUGAGGAUAGAUCAUCUCCCUUACAGCUAGAACGACAUAUGUAUCUAUCAUUCUAUCUUGUUAUUUUCUUUGGAUUUUAGAUGAAACUUUAAGGUAAACUAUUUACUAUCACAUAUGAUACUGUUUGUAAGUCGGUGUUAUCUGUUAUGAGCUCUUAUUGAGAUGGGGGCUCAUUCGACGAUAAGACAAUAGAUUGUGUAGUUAGCGAUUUCAGCUUUGACUUAAUCUUGUUAUUGAGCAGAAGUAACAAAAUUGAUAAAAGACUGCUAGUUUUUGUCUGCAAAAUUUCUACUACAUAUGUUGUAAAUGUAACAAAAAUUAUAGAUAGAUUUUGACCUUAUGGCUUUCUUUAACAAUAGAAUUUACUCUGUAGUUAAACUAUUCUUGUUUGAAUUGUUAUUUUUUAUCUGGCUUUGUGACUUGUUUGAGGUCAGGGCAUAGUUGUUAAAAGCCAUCGCCUCUUACGCCUAGGCCCAUUUUUCAGGCGAGUCGAGGCAAUUGCGUCUUAAGUUGAGGCAAUUGUGCUUUAAUUCUCUAGGCGUAGAUUCCAGAGAGUUUCCAGCCAAAUUCUCUAAAUUCCGGCAAGAUUCUAGACAGAUUUCUACUUUUAUCCAAGGAAAACUACUUUUAUACACCAAUACGCUAAUAUUUUAGAACUUUUGGUACUAAUAGAUGAUAUCAAAUGUUAUAUAAUAGCUUUUGUUUAUUUUAUUUGAAGAAAAUUAUUUUGUUUAUUUUAUUUGAAGAAUAUUAUUAUUUUUCUAAUACAAAUUAAUUUUUUUUCAUUGUGUGCUUUUUUCUCAAACCCUCGCUUUUUUUUGCCCCUUGUGGAUAGGCCCAGGGGAGGCCUAUGCGCCUUGAGUGCGCCUAGCGCCUUUAAUAACUGUGGGUCAGGCUAUCCAUCAUAGGUCUUUUUCAUUGCUUUGAAGGACUAUCUCUUAAUCUUCUAUUGGUCGGAUAUCACUUCCUGGUAAUUGCAAUCAUCAAAUGUGUUAAUUAUGGUGUUUUCUAUGCUUUGAAAUUUUUUUACUUUAAAAAAGUUUUAUAAGUGCUAUGAAAUCCAAGUAAAGGUGAUCACAGACCCAGCUCCUUCUAGGCCACAAAGUUCACGUUCCUUCUUACUUAUCAUCCAUGAUUUUGUGAGGGUCUCGUUUUUUAAGGCCGAGGCGUUUCUUAGUUUCGAUUGUUGUUUUAUCGGUUUGACAUGCUAUUGAAUUUACAGUACAGUUGUGUCUGCUCACUUCUUUCUAGACAGUACAAAAAUUCUUUACUGGGUUCAUCUGAUGAUCAAAUGAUUCAUGAUUUUAGCAACUUUUCAUUGUGGUUCUUUUUAACGUGUAGGUUGAAAUCAUGCCGAUACAUUAGGUUUCUAAUUGAUAAAACAACUAAGUAUUAUAUGUAAUUGCAAUUUAGGCUAUGAACAUACCCGCAGCUUGAUUUCUGUGUAUAUUCUGCUUUGUUGGCGAGAGAAAAUGUGUUGAUUGUCAAUUGAGUUGAUUCUUUUAAUCAAGUUUUUGUUAGUUCUUGAUGUUAGGAUCUUGGAGUUAUCCAGUUAUCCUGUGUUGUUUUUAUCUGUGCUAAUAGUUGGAUUAGGAUAAAUCAUCUUCCUUACAGCUAGAACAACAUAACUAUCUAUCUUGUUAUUCCCCUCAUAUUUAUAUAAUAUUAAAGACAAAGGUCGGUGGACCUUUGUCUUUUACCUCCUCAACUUUUACACCGCCUCACCCUUCAUCAUAUACACACCCCCUUAUUUCUCCCUACUUCUAUUUCCGCCUUCGUUUCCACUCGACUGAAACAUAUAACUCAGAUCCAAAACCCUACAUCUCAACCAAUUUCACUUCAAACAAUCAUCUCAUCAAUCACAACCAUCACACAAACGAUCAAUCACACCGGUGUAAACUGUUCCAAGUUGUUCCAAACCUAGGGUUUUAUGGUUAGGGUUUAGGAACAGAGCGAACGAUGUGGAACAACUCCGGACUGGAGAUGUGGAACAACAACGGAGCAAUUGCUCCGCCUGGAACCAGUGGAGGACCGCCGCUAGCACCGCUGGGGACUGGAGGUGUUGGUGGCUCGAUUCCGCCACCGCCGGCUGCUCAACUCCUAAUCUUGCCUUUUUCCUUCAGCCAAACCUCUGUAACAGCUUCAGGCUAGGAUUGUAUACAUUUGUUCAUACAGAAACCAAAAUGUUGCGAUUAAAUUAUAAAUAAAGGUGAUUCCACAAGAGAAAUUGCAAACAUUACAGGAUGUCAUGGGCAAGAAAUUGCAGUGCUAUCUAAAGUUGAAUCCCAUAAUUAUUAAAGGUAGUGUUUUGAUAUCGUCGUAGCAAAGAUGGAGUAUUUUGAUCUUGAAUGAAUAUCAAAUCUUAAGUGCAACUUAAAUAGAAAUGCCGGUUAUUUUAACG